GCACCCGCGGUAAUUCCAGCUCCAAUAGCGUAUACUAAUGUUGUUGCAGUUAAAAAGCUCGUAGUCGGAUUUCAGUAGGCUCAGUUAAGUCUCUUCUAUUGAGUUCUUUAUGGGCCUGCUUCUUUGACAGAAACUUCUAUGUUAUUCAUUUAGCGUGGGUAGCGACUGUCUCUUUUACUUUGAGAAAAUUAGAGUGUUCAAAGCAGGUAUUCGCCUGAAUAUUACUCUUGGAAUAAUGCUAUAAGACUUUGGUUCUAAUGUAUUGGUGAUUGGGACCAGAGUAAUGAUUGAUAGGGACGGUUGGGGUCUUACGUACUGCAAAGCGAGAGGUGAAAUUCUUGGACCUUUGUAUGACGAACAACUGCGAAAGCAUUGGACUAGGACGUUCCCGUUAAUCAAGAACGAAAGU
rnacentral:rRNA from 1 species